CCUACGGGCGGCAGCAGUGAGGAAUAUUGGUCAAUGGACGAGAGUCUGAACCAGCCAAGUAGCGUGAAGGAUGAAUGCCCUAUGGGUUGUAAACUUCUUUUAUAUGGGAAUAAAAUGUUCCACGUGUGGGAUUUUGUAUGUACCAUAUGAAUAAGGAUCGGCUAACUCCGUGCCAGCAGCCGCGGUAAUACGGAGGAUCCGAGCGUUAUCCGGAUUUAUUGGGUUUAAAGGGAGCGUAGGUGGAUUGUUAAGGCAGUUGUGAAAGUUUGCGGCUCAACCGUAAAAUUGCAGUUGAAACUGGCAGUCGUGAGUACAGUAGAGGUGGGCGGAAUUCGUGGUGUAGCGGUGAAAUGCUUAGAUAUCACGAAGAACUCCGAUUGCGAAGGCAGCUCACUGGACUGCAACUGACACUGAGGCUCGAAAGUGUGGGUAUCAAACAGGAUUAGAUACCCCUGUAGUC
rnacentral:rRNA from 1 species